GAUGAAGAACGUAGCGAAAUGCGAUAAGUAGUGUGAAUUGCAGAAUUCAGUGAAUCAUCGAAUCUUUGAACGCACAUUGCGCCCCUUGGUAUUCCAUGGGGCAUGCCUGUUCGAGCGUCAUUUGUACCUUCAAGCUUUGCUUGGUGUUGGGUGUUUGUCCUGAGGGACUCGCCUUAAAGUAAUUGGCAGCCAGUGUUUGGUUUUGAAGCGCAGCACAAGUCGCGAUUCAAAGCUAUACGCCCGCUUCCACAAGCCUUUUUCACUUUUAACCUCGGAUCAGGUAGGAGUACCCGCUGAACUUAAGCAUAUCAAUAAGCGGAGGA
rnacentral:misc_RNA from 1 species